GAUGAACGCUGGCGGCGUGCCUAAUACAUGCAAGUCGAGCGAACAGACGAGGAGCUUGCUCCUCUGACGUUAGCGGCGGACGGGUGAGUAACACGUGGAUAACCUACCUAUAAGACUGGGAUAACUUCGGGAAACCGGAGCUAAUACCGGAUAAUAUAUUGAACCGCAUGGUUCAAUAGUGAAAGACGGUUUUGCUGUCACUUAUAGAUGGAUCCGCGCCGCAUUAGCUAGUUGGUAAGGUAACGGCUUACCAAGGCAACGAUGCGUAGCCGACCUGAGAGGGGGAGAGGCAACACGGGAACUGAGACACGGUCCAGAGUCCGACGGGAGGCAGCAGGAGGGAAUCUGCAGGAAUGGGCGAAAGCCUGACGGAGCAACGCCGAGGGAGUGAUGAAGGUCUUCGGAUCGUAAAACUCUGUUAUUAGGGAAGAACAUAUGUGUAAGUAAAUGUGCACAGCUUGACGGUACCUAAUCAGAAAGCCACGGCUAACUACGUG
rnacentral:rRNA from 1 species